GAGCGGAAGUCCCUCGCCUAGCGGCGUCCCAUCUUUCCCAGCCUUCUGCUCACACCCGCUCCGCCCUGGCGGCUGUGGCAUCUGCCCCUUUGGAGCCCCAGGGGGGCAUUUCUAAGGGCCCAUCUCGGAAACAAACCUAGGUGUAGCACUUCGAUCCGACUCGUCCCAGAGCGGCCCCUGCGCUCCGAACAUUGAGCCAUUCAACAAUUACUGGGCUCCUGCUGGCGUGCCGUGCUAGGCGGUUGGAACAAAGCCUCUGCUCUCGUGGAGGAACACGGAGCCAAAUGCAUUUAAAAAGAUCAUAAUUAUGAAGAGAAUUAGGAAUGCAAGGGUCAGGAGGAGGCUUUUAAGUGCUGGAACGUGAAUACAUCACCCGUUAAAAACACGGCUAAUUACUAUUCAAUAGGGUCUCCAAUAAUGAUUUGAGGGGUUGGUCAGGGAAGGCCUCUGUGAGGAAGUGGCAUUUGGGAUGAGAGCUGAGUGACAAGAAGGGCCCCCCUCCCCCGUACUCCUGCAAGGAUCUAAGGGGACGAAAUCCCAAGCCUUGCAACUACAGAGACCCAGGGCUGGAGGGGCUGAGGCUGGCGAGAAGCAAGGCUGCAUGGGGCCCCGGGCUGGGAUUUCAUUCUGAGGGUGAUGGGAAGUCACUGGUGAGUUUAAUGCAGGGGCAAGCCUGGAUCCGAUUUACAUUUUAACAAGAUGAUGCUGGCUGCUGUGUGGGGGAUGGACUGUAGGUCUGCGCAGGUGGAAGCACGGGAAGACCAUUUAGAGAUAGUGGUGGACUGGACCCAGGGAAAAUGAGAACAGGUCAGAUUUGGGCUGAUGUGGAGCAGGUGGGGUGGGUGAUGGAGUUAGAUGUCGGGGGAGAGGAAAUGAGGGGGAUGCCAGGUUUGAGACUGAAAUAACUGGGUACAUUGUGGUGCCAUUACGGAGAAGAAUUUUCUUGGGAGUGGGAGGUAAAGGUGGUGGGAUCAAACGGUCUAUUAAAUCAGAGAAGCCUUUUACAAUGGCAGGGGAGGGGAACUGCUACUGGUCACCCU
rnacentral:lncRNA from 1 species